rnacentral:rRNA from 1 species
CUGGCUCAGGAUGAACGCUAGCGGCAGGCUUAACACAUGCAAGUCGAGGGGCAUCGGGAGUAGCAAUACUGCCGGCGACCGGCGCAAGGGUGCGUAACGCGUGAGCAACAUGCCCGUAUCAGGGGGAUAAUCCAUGGAAACGUGGUCUAAUACCCCAUAGUAAUUAUGUAAGGCAUCUUAUAUAAUUUAAAGCUUUGGUGGAUACGGAUUGGCUCGCGUGACAUUAGCUGGAUGGUAAGGUAACGGCUUACCAUGGCUACGAUGUCUAGGGGUUCUGAGAGGAAGGUCCCCCCACACUGGAACUGAGACACGGUCCAGACUCCUACGGGAGGCAGCAGUGAGGAAUAUUGGACAAUGGAUGGAAAUCUGAUCCAGCCAUGCCGCGUGCAGGAAAAGACGGCCCUAUGGGUUGUAAACUGCUUUUGUAUGGGAGCAAUAAGGGCUACGUGUAGUCCGAUGAGAGUACCAUACGAAUAAGCACCGGCUAACUCCGUGCCAGCAGCAGC